rnacentral:rRNA from 1 species
AGAGUGAACGCUGGCGGUAGGCCUAACACAUGCAAGUCGAACGGCAGCACAGUAGGAGCUUGCUCUUACGGGUGGCGAGUGGCGGACGGGUGAGGAAUACAUCGGAAUCUACCUUUUGGUGGGGGAUAACGUAGGGAAACUUACGCUAAUACCGCAUACGCCCUUCGGGGGAAAGCCGGGGACCAGCAAUGGCCUGGCGCUGAUAGAUGAGCCGAUGUCGGAUUAGCUAGUUGGUGAGGUAAUGGCUCACCAAGGCGACGAUCCGUAGCUGGUCUGAGAGGAUGAUCAGCCACACUGGAACUGAGACACGGUCCAGACUCCGUACGGGAGCAGCAGUGGGGAAUAGUGGACAAGUGGG